rnacentral:lncRNA from 1 species
UCUGUUCGUCCAAACUCGCCUAAGUCAGCUUUUACUCAAGUGAGGACUCCUUAAGGACUCCUCCAAGGCACCAAUUGUAGAGCGGAAGUAAACUUAUGCCAAAAGAAGCCACAAAGAAUAACAGAAAGCCACGGAAAAGAUUGCACACAAGGUGUUUGAGUAAAUGCUCUCAGAAUUCUAUUACUUUUAAGAAUUCACAUACAAU